rnacentral:rRNA from 1 species
CACGUGAGGGCGCAAGCGUUGUCCGGAAUUAUUGGGCGUAAAGAGCUCGUAGGCGGUCUGUUGCGUCUGCUGUGAAAACUCGGGGCUUAACCCCGAGCCUGCAGUGGAUACGGGCAGACUAGAGGUAGGCAGGGGAGAGCGGAACUCCUGGUGUAGCGGUGGAAUGCGCAGAUAUCAGGAGGAACACCGAUGGCGAAGGCAGAUCUCUGGGCCGUAACUGACGCUGAGGAGCGAAAGCGUGGGGAGCGAACAGG